UACGUAGGGUGCAAGCGUUGUCCGGAAUUAUUGGGCGUAAAGAGCUCGUAGGCGGUCUGUCGCGUCGGCUGUGAAAACUCGGGGCUCAACCCCGAGCCUGCAGUCGAUACGGGCAGGCUAGAGUUCGGUAGGGGAGAUCGGAAUUCCUGGUGUAGCGGUGAAAUGCGCAGAUAUCAGGAGGAACACCGGUGGCGAAGGCGGAUCUCUGGGCCGAUACUGACGCUGAGGAGCGAAAGCGUGGGGAGCGAACAGG
rnacentral:rRNA from 1 species